CUGCUUUGUGAGUCACUGUUGCUGGGGGAAGAGGCGACACCCCAUGAUGGGCUCACAAAGGGUUCCCAGGAGUGAUGGACCUUAAGUUCUGCCCCGCCCCGGGUUCAAAAGUCUUAGGAUCCCACGGCUGCCACACCCUCCCCAGGCCCUCCUUCUCCUGCAUCCUCCCCUGGCCCUGCUUCACUCACCUGCCACCCACACCCAAGCCCACCCCACUCGCCCCUUGAACAGCACCCACCCCCCACCUCCUUAAACUGAAGAUGGACGGACAAACCGGAAAUGGACAGCCUUAAUCUCUUCCUAGGUGGAGACUGGGGUCUCACUGGGAAAAAUGCAAGGCUCCCCACAGCCCUGAGCCAAGCUUGCUGUGGGGCCCUCCCCCACCUCCCGAGGAAAGGGGGUGAGCACAGGCUGGAAACCCCCUCCUGUUCUGGAUCCUCUUUCCACCAGCGCUGGCAGAGAUCGUGGAACUGGCGACAUUUCUCACAAGGUGGUGAGGCCGCGCGGAAGGUGGAAGCUGUCGCCAAGGGGCAGUCUGCACGGCGGCCCUUGGAGAACGGCUGGGUGACCCAAGACACCCUCCUGCUGCCCCGCCUGUGGCUCGAGGCUUCGCUCGGAGGGGCUGCGGCGUGUCUCCGGGGCGCGGGCGCGUUCCUGCGCAGCCCCUCCCAGCACCCCUCAUGAGCUGGAGAGCCG
rnacentral:lncRNA from 1 species